AUUGAACGCUGGCGGCAUGCCUUACACAUGCAAGUCGAACGGUAACAGGUCUUCGGAUGCUGACGAGUGGCGAACGGGUGAGUAAUACAUCGGAACGUGCCCGAGGGUGGGGGAUAACGAGGCGAAAGCUUUGCUAAUACCGCAUACGAUCUCAGGAUGAAAGCAGGGGACCGCAAGGCCUUGCGCUCACGGAGCGGCCGAUGGCAGAUUAGGUAGUUGGUGGGAUAAAAGCUUACCAAGCCGACGAUCUGUAGCUGGUCUGAGAGGACGACCAGCCACACUGGGACUGAGACACGGCCCAGACUCCUACGGGAGGCAGCAGUGGGGAAUUUUGGACAAUGGGCGCAAGCCUGAUCCAGCCAUGCCGCGUGCAGGAUGAAGGCCUUCGGGUUGUAAACUGCUUUUGUACGGAACGAAAAGACUUCUUCUAAUAAAGGGGGUCCAUGACGGUACCGUAAGAAUAAGCACCGGCUAACUACGUGCCAGCAGCCGCCGUAAGAC
rnacentral:rRNA from 1 species